rnacentral:lncRNA from 1 species
UUAAAUACCACCAACAACAUCUCAUUAAACUUUAUGAAUCAAUGGAGUAAGUAACAAAAUAAAAUAUCACAAUUUAUUUUUUAAAAGAUCAUAGCAGACUAUUAUAUAUGUCAGGAUAUAUAGAUAUAGACACAAACCGUAGUGAUGAUAAACUAUGAUACUUUACUAUAUUCGUUGAUAUUUUAGUUCAUUUAAAAAAUGACACAAACUAUAUUUGCUUAACUAAUGAUAUAUUUUGGAAUGUAUUAUAUAUUGUAGGGCUGGAGUAAAUGUAAAAGGAUAUUUUGCAUGGACAUUGUUGGACGAUUUUGAAUGGUCAAGAGGAUAUACUAUGCGAUUUGGAAUAACCUACAUUGAUUUCAAAGACAAAACCUUGGAACGAAUCCCAAAACUCUCGUCAAAGUGGUUCACUCAUUUCUUAAGCAGUUGAAAAGAUGAUUCACAACCACAUCAAAGCUAUUUGCCAAGGCAUUAUAAUAAAGCUAUUUGCCAAGGCAUUAUAAUAAAGCUAUUUCGUAAGGCAUUAUAUUGUAAUGGGUAGUUUUUUGUUUUUGAUAUUGCAAUCCUUGUUAUUUCAAUGUUUUGGGUCAAUAAAAUAAAUUACCUAGAGCUACUGUGUUGUUUGGAUUGAGAAUAUAUAAUCUACUUUAAUUUACUCUUUCACCUUUUUUUCUUCUUCUUAUUAUUAUGAUUGUUAGACUAGUUGUAUAAAUGACAUUCAAACAAAAAAAAACAUAAAAAUAUACAACAUAAAAAUUGGUAAAAGACUAAAAACUUUCACGUGUAUUGUGUUAUAUUUUAAAAUUAUUUUUCUGGUUGCGUUAUUUUUCGUUGUCGUCAUCAUCGUCAAUUUCUUCUUUCUCUAACGAUUUUAGUUGAUGGAGAAUAGUUGAAUUUUAGAUAGAUUUUGUAAGAAAAAAAAACAUAGGUACUAUAAAUAAUGACUAAACUUUAUGAAAUUUUUAACAUGGAUCAUUAAUUCGUGUAUGCAAAUUUCAAAUAAAAACUAUUUGUCCAUUUGAUUGUAACUACCCAAUUUUUCAACUUAAGCUAAAGUCACUGUCCAAAUAAAAUUAUGAUCUCAAAAUCCAAAACUAUGCAAAUUUUAUAUACAUUUUAUUAAAGAAAUAGAUAUAAGACAUGACACACUCCCUUCCGGAUCACCCUACUCUUGAAUAGAGGAAGGCGUGAAGUCAACCGAUAUCGCUCCCUUUUUUAACAACACCAGCUGAUCCUUAACCUUUCACCUUUAACUAAAACGCAGGCGGAAGCUAACACACAUAACUUAAACACAACUGAGUGCAACCCUUUUCAUUAAACAAACAACUUUAUAUAAGUUUUACAUAGACAUCUAUGAUCAGCCACAAUUACAUAAAAAUAGACUCUAACUUCAACCCUCUUAAAUCCAAGUCCGUUACAAUUAAAAGACCAACUAAAUGUAACUUCUAAACAGCAAGACAUGUACAAUAAUAAGACAAAAUCCUUCAGUAGACAGGUGGCAGAUUGGUUCUUGGGCGACCAAGGAGAUGGAUGAGAGUGAUGUCUUUACACCUUAAACUAUCCUCAUCGUAAGGAGCAACAUUGGACAGUGGAGGAAGAAAAGUGGAUCAGAACUUAAUUUUAAUUUUGUGGUUUCGCGAGGAAAAGAAUGUAAUUUGUAAACUAUGAACUCUAUAGAGUGUUAAAUUAAUAACGCGAAGAAGUUAUGUUAUUCUGCUGCUUUAUUAUUAUCCAAUCUUAUCGCCUAAAGGUUAAAGUGGAUUUAUAUUAGGUAAAAGUCUUCGGUGAUGGAUUAAAGUCUAAAAGUUGUAAAUUUUUCACUGCAAUAAAAAAGUCUAAGUUUGAGGAAAAGGCUUCGUGAGGAGGCAAGUUAAGUAAGUUGUUUCGCUUACUAGGUGUUCAAUGCGUCAUCUUGUGAGGAUAUGCAAUGGGUGUCUAGGCAACACGCUCCCAUCUAGAGGAGUGGCAUUAGGGGCGGAGCGUGACAUACUAUAGAUUAUCACUACUUUUAAUUUGCUAAGUUUAUUAUUGUGCAAUUUUAAUUUUCUUGAAAUAUAAUGAACCAAUUUCAAUACUCCUUUUGGUUACAUUGAGUCGUAAGAAAUUUAAUUGAGAAACUCUACCAUUCCUUGAGUUCGACAUGUGCUACCACCCCUGCAAAGUUAGAUAGAGACGGUUAAAAUUGUUUAACCUAAUUAGAUAAACAAUUGACCCAACCAUUGAUAUAGAAUCGAAAAUGUGCUAUCUAAUCACUCUUAAUUUGGAAUCGUUAGAUGAUUUUAUGUUUGUAUUUGGCUAUUUUAUAAGUUUCGAGUAAUUCGAAGGUAAAAUCUAGUGUUCAUAAUAUUUUAGAGAUAAAAUGAGUGAAAAGAAGUUAGUAGACAUCAACGGGGGGUAAAGCAUGAAGAAAAGAAGCGAAAUUGGCAUUUACCUCGCAACACCCGAAUGCCCUACGACUACAUUAAUGCAAUUGAUAUAAAUUUGGAUUUUGUAUCUUUUCUCAUCGAUUCAAAUAGAUUAUCAAUUAUUACUCAGAACCAAUUGAUUGGCUUUUCCAAUUGAAUUUGGUUAGUCAAGCCAUAACCCUUGAAUUUAGUAGUAUAUGAGAAACAGCAUAAAUGAAUACAUGGUAUAUAGAAAAUUCCAUUUAAUUAACUUACUUUUUUAAAGAUUGAAUUCCUCAAAUUUACUUUUAUGCAAUUUACACAAAUUUCAAUUCAAAAUAAUUCAAACCCACCCUCGGUUACCUUAGGUUACAUUGGAAACCAUGUGUUUGAGAAAUUCAUGUACUCCCUGUGUACAAUCCAAACUUGCCAAAAGAACUAAUUAUUGAUGAUGUGUGAUUCGGUUAGCUGAUUUGAUCUAGAUGUGAACGAAGAAAGUAAUGUGCUUGAUCCCAUCACAAUGAUAUAUUAAACCUAAAUUUGAAAACCUAUAUAUAUUCUUAAUUAUUUCUCCAUCUGUGAUUAGAUUUGAGAUCAAAAGUAAUUAAUACCGAUUAUUAUUAUAAAAGUUGUGAUGCAAUUUCAUCGAUCUUGUAGAUGAAAGGUCUCAACUUACAUUACUUAAUAUUUUAUUUAUUUAUUAUUAUUAUUAUAAAUAUUAUCUCUCCAUAUGCCUCAACUAAUAACAUUAAUCAAAAUUAUCACUAACAUAACCUAAAUUUUAUAACUUAAAAAAUGUACAAAAACUCGUUUUUCAGGUGGGAAAGUAUUAAAUUCUUACCUGCACUCAUCAAUUCAUCAGCUAACAAUAUAUCUAAUCAAAUCCAACCUGUUUUCUCAAAGAAAAAAAAAAACCAAAUUAAGUUUUGGUAUAGAUGUGUUUUUUCUUUCUUUCACUUCUGGUCAAUGUCAUGUGAAAACUAUUAUGGAAGGUUUAGUUGUUAAAUGCCUAUUUUAAAAUUUAACAACACCGGUUAAAUAUUUACCCUAAAAUAUGCUAAUAAAUAUGUAUAAUAGUGUAUUGAUAUUCUGUUGUAUUUAUAAAUAUUUUAAACAUUUUUUGUUAAUUAAAAAUAGAAUAAUUCUCUACUAUUAAAUUAGAAGGUCAUCUUGUCGAUCUAAUAAAAUAAAUUUUAAGAAUUAGACUACUUUUACAAACAUGACAACAAAAAAACCUCGUUGCAUGAAAUGUAAAUAUAUCCAAACAUUUGAUACACAUAUAAUACAUUUUUGAUAUAUACAUUUCAUAUAUUUCUUAAAAGUUUGAUAACCAAGAUAAAUCGAAAUAAGAUCUAAGAAUUAAAUUGAUUUCCGUUGCUUCCAUCCCGAAACUUACAUACUUUAAUAUUCGCCCAUGACACAUGACAUAUAUGUGUAUUUAUAUAUAUCAUAUUUUACAUAUAUGUGUAUUUAUACAUAUCAUAUUUUAAUAUUUCAAAACACAUGUAUAUUAAAAUAAUAGUUAAAAAAAGAAACUCAUCCAGUAGCUUGCAGCUUGUCCUCGCUAUAAAAAGCCAAUCAGAAAGUUGAAGUAUCUCACCGAUCAAAGUAAAGUCAAGAAGGAUAAUAAGGGCUUUUUUCUUUUAAUUUCUUGGUUCUAUUUUCUUUGACGUAUUUUUUCCUUAUCCUUGAAUACUACUUUCAAUGGCUGAAGAGGCUCCAGACUCCUCUUUCAUUCCCACUGUAAUUAGGAGAAGCACCUUCCCUCCAGGCUUUGUUUUUGGUUCUGCAUCAUCUGCUUAUCAAGUACCAUAAAAAUAUACUUCCUUCUUUUCACUCCUAUUCUUUAGAUUUUCUAAAUGUACUAAUAAUAUUAACAUAUAUAUAUAUUGUAUUGUAACAGUAUGAAGGUGCUGCUUUUGAAUAUGGGAGAACACCAAGUAUUUGGGAUACAUAUACUCAUCUACACCCUGGUUCUUGAUCUUUCUUCCUCUCUGUCUAGCUCUUUCAAUACGAAUAAUAAGAAUAAAUAAAUGAUAAAGUAAGUUAUAUUUGUUUUUCUGGAACUCCAGAGAGGAUUGAUGAUGGCAGUAACGCAGAUGUAACAGUUGAUCAAUACCAUCGAUACCCGGUUUGUGAGAUUUAUAUAUAGUUGCAGUACAUAGAAUUAAAAAAAUUGUGUGGCAGACCACAAAUUUUUUAAACCUUAACUACUUGAAUUAUCCAUUGAAAAUGUGCAUUAAUUAUUGUUGGUGUACAAUACAGGUAGAUGUUGAGAUUAUCAAGAAAAUAGGUUUUGAUGCAUACAGAUUCUCAAUUUCGUGGUCUAGAGUGUUGCCAAGUAAGGAUUUAAGUAUCACUUAACAUAUGUAAAAAAAUUACCUUCAGUUUUUGUAUAUUUAAUUUAAAAGAUAAAAGAAUUUUGAUUUAUGAAGAAAAACGAAAACCAUGACACUUUUAUGAUAGGAAGAAAACAUUAACUAAGGACAACUUUGGUAUUUUCUUUAAUGCUAACCCUAAUGCUGACGUAUACCACAUUGAGCCUAAUGGCCACACAAUGCAAAAGUUUAGUUUUUUUAGUAUUAAACUACUUAAUUUUUAAUUUUCAUACUUUAUUUUGAGAUGAAUUUAAUUUUGAUUAAAAGUUAUACUGAAUUAUAACCAUUGGAAUAAAAUUGAUGAAAGUUGUAUAUAUAUAUAUUUUUUUGGAACUGUCAAAUAGAAAUUUAUGUUUUUUUAUGUCAAAUUUAUAUAUAUCUUAAAAUAUAAUAAUAAAUAAACAUAUCUUCAACAAAUUUGUAUUUCAGUUUCUUAACGAUGGCAUAUUGCAAAAUCUUGUCGUAUCAGUAUUGUAUAUCAAUAUUAUGUCUAUCUUUUAUAAACAAAAACAACCUUUUUUUAAAGUGAACUUUUUAAGUUUUUAAAUCAGUAAUGGAAUGUAAAUAACUAAGGAAGAAAGUAGAAAUUGGAAAUAGUGACUACAUACUUGAAUUAAAAAAAAUGAUUACCAAGAGAGAAACUUAGUGACUUUAUUACAUUAUUAUAAAACUAAACUUUUUAAUGCUCACUUAUAUAAGUUUAGUUAGCAGAUAAUCUUAAUUUGUAAUACAUCAGAUUUGGCACGUAUAUAAUUUAAUUUAAGGAUGGUUGAUGUAUUGUCAACGUUUUGAAAACACAUAGUGGGAAAGCUUUCUAGUGGUGUGAAUCAAGAAGGAAUUAACUACUACAAUAGACUCAUCAAUGAUCUCAUUUCAAAAGGUUGGUGUAUUAUUAUACAUCUUAAUACUUCAUUUGGUCCAAUUAAUUAUUCUAACCAAAUGAUUUGGGUUAAUUAACUUCAUAAUUUUGAUAAAUAUUUGGAAUUGUAAUUAAUUUGUAGGCAUCCAACCAUAUGUAACAAUUUUUCAUUGGGAUGUUCCUCAAGCUUUAGAAGAUGAAUAUUUAGGCUUCUUGUCCGAACAAAUAAUGUGAGUAUACCCUUUCUUUUUUCUUUUUUAAAUCAAUAAUAAUGGAAACAUAUGUUAUAGUAUUAAUAUUACUGUUUAUAUAUAUAUAUAUAACAAAAUACUUCCCCUACUAUUAUUAAAAACAAAAUUCAUUCCUCUUUUUCUUUGUUUCUCUCUCCUUUUAAUUAAGUUAAUAAUAUGUAAAAUGAGAUGUUUGACUUUUAAACAUCCUUGAUGAUAAGUCCUUAGUUGAUAUACAUAUUCAUAUUGCCAUAUAAUAAUCAUAAUGAUUAAUUAAAGAUUAAUGUAUAAAUUAAGCUUAAAUAGCUAUAUAUUUGUAUCCUAAUUAACUAUUACUAUAUUUAAAUAGAUGUUUAAUAAGGGUGGUCAGUAUAUAAUAAAGUUUUUAGUUUGAUUUAACCUAAUAAUAAUAUCAGAUUUGUUUCCAAACCAUUUUUGUUUGAACCCAACUUUCUCCUCUGUCAAAUGUGUUCAAAGUAAAUAUAUCCCAAAGCUUUGCUUUCUUCUUUUUCUGUUUUAAAAGUUUUGGCUAAAUCAUUAGACGAGGGUCUAUUGAAAAGUUACUAAAAUAGAACAAAGAAAUUGUUAAAAUACAUAUUAUAGAUCCUAAAAUAGAAUCGUGUGGUUCAAGGAAAGGAAAUAACAUGAAUAUUAUUAUUGAUUUCAGAGAUGAUUAUCGAGACUUUGCUGAGCUUUGCUUCAAAGAGUUUGGAGAUAGAGUGAAACAUUGGAUCACUUUUAACGAGCAAUAUAUCUUUGCCUCAUAUGGCUAUGCAACUGGGCUAUUUGCACCCGGCAGGGGGGCUUCUUCGAAACAUUUAGAUUAUCUUUGUGGAGAUUCUGAGCAUAAACCACAUGUUGGUCUUGUGCCACGAAGAGGCUUUUUUUGGAAACAGUUAGAAUGUGAACUCGAGGGACAUCCUGGAACUGAACCAUAUAUCGUUGGUCACAACCAAAUUCUCGCACAUGCUGCUACGGUUAAACUUUACAAGUCUAAAUAUGUAAUAUUUUCCCCUCGUAUUUCUUAAAUUUUGAUUUUGGUUAAAAGCUCAAAAUUUAUAAUUUAUUGACAUUGAAGUAAACUAAAUUUUUCACUAUUUUUCAACCAUUUUCUUAUAUGGUAUUUGUAGGAAUAUCAAAAUGGUAAAAUUGGAGUGACACUUAAUACGGAUUGGUAUGUCCCAAAUUCAAAUCUUGUGGAUGAUAUAAGAGCUGCAUCUCGAGCUCUCGAUUUCUCUCUUGGUUGGUAAGUAAAAUAACUAAUAUAUAACAAAGCACAGAAAAUGUUUCAAAUAGAUAUCUAUAUCCACGAGUAUCUAUAUUAUUUGAAUUAAUUAACUUAUUAUGUUGAAACAAUUUAAAUGUUAUUAUUUGUAGGUUUUUGCAUCCAUUGGUGUAUGGAGAUUAUCCAGACAGCAUGAGAGAACUUGUGAAGGAGAGAUUGCCAAAGUUCACAGAUGAUGAAGUUAGUUUGGUGAAAGGGUCUUAUGAUUUUCUUGGAAUCAAUUACUACACAGCUAACUAUGCAAAAAAUAAUCCUAAUGUUGAUCCCAACAAACCAAGCCAAGUCACUGAUUCCCAUGCCGAUGUUUCAAGUAAUUCAUCAACUAUAUAUUUUAAUUUUACAUCAAAACGAUCUUAUAAUUUUAUAUAUCUUUUACUUUUACAUUUAUUUUAAAUUUUCCCAUACACAUUUAAAUUUCUGUUUUUGACUAUAUAUGCCCAUUUGUGUGUUUCUGAAUUGUAGCUGAUCGAGAUGGAGUUUCAAUUGGUCCAAAGGUAAUCCACUGUUUGAAUUACAUUACUUUGUUUAAAUAUUUAACUUUAUGCAAUUUUCUUUUUUUUACUAAAUGGUUUGUUUAUUUUGUAGGUUCGUAAAGAUUCUUGGCUUGCAGUUUAUCCAGAAGGGCUAAAAGAUCUUAUGAUACAUAUAAAGCAUCAUUACAAAGAUCCAAUCAUCUACAUCACAGAAAACGGUACUGCAAUUAAUUUUACUAUAUACAUAUAUAGAUACCACAUGCUCUAUGUUUAUAAUAAUCCUAUUGAUUAAAGUAUUUUCUAAAUACAGGAUAUCUUGACUAUGAUAGUUCCGAUGUCGAAAAAUUACUCAAGGAUGAGGGUAGAGUUAAAUACUACCAACAACAUCUCAUUAAACUUCAUGAAUCAAUGGAGUGAGUAAAUAAAUAAAUUAUCACAAUUUAUUUUGCAAAAGAUCGUAAUAGACUAUUAAACUCUCUGUCAAGAUAGACACAAACCAUAAUUAUGAUAAACUAUGAUACUUUGCUAUUAUGCUAUUGUCGUUGAGUAAUAAUAUAAUUUGGAAUAUGUUAUAUUAAUUGCAGGGCUGGAGUGAAGGUAAAAGGAUAUUUUGCAUGGACAUUGUUGGAUGAUUUUGAAUGGUCAAGAGGGUACACUAUGCGAUUUGGAAUAACAUACAUCGAUUUCAAAAGCAAAACUUUGGAACGAAUCCCAAAACUCUCAUCAAAGUGGUUCAACCAUUUCUUAAGCACUUGAAGAUGAUUCACAACCCCAUCAAAACCUAUUUGCCAAGCCAUUAUAAUAAAG